rnacentral:rRNA from 1 species
AGAGUUUGAUCAUGGCUCAGAACGUACGCUGGCGGCACGCCUAACACAUGCAAGUCGAACGAAGCAGCAAUACUUAGUGGCAGACGGGUGAGUAACAUGUAGGUAUCUGCCCUUUGGCCUGGAAUAACACGAGGAAACUUGUGCUAAUACCGGAUAAGUCUUAACGGAGAAAGCUUUAUGCACCAUUGGAUGAGCCUGCACUUGAUUAGUUUGUUGGUGGGGUAAUGGCCUACCAAGACUGUGAUCAAUAGCUGAUUUGAGAGGAUGAUCAGCCACAUUGGGACUGAGACACGGCCCAAACUCCUACGGGAGGCAGCAGUGGGGAAUCUUGCACAAUGGAGGAAACUCUGAUGCAGCGAUGCCGCGUGAGUGAAGAAGGCCCUUGGGUUGUAAAGCUCUUUCGUCGGGGAAGAAAAUGACUGUACCCGAAUAAGAAGGUCCGGCUAACUUCGUGCCAGCAGCCGCGGUAAUACGAAGGGACCUAGCGUAGUUCGGAAUUACUGGGCUUAAAGAGUUCGUAGGUGGUUGAAAUAGUUGGUGGUGAAAUCCCAGAGCUUAA